rnacentral:rRNA from 1 species
GGACCCGCACAAGCGGUGGAGUAUGUGGUUUAAUUCGAAGCAACGCGCAGAACCUUACCAACCCUUGACAUGGUACGUAUGAGCUUCAGAGAUGAAGUUCUUCACUUCGGGUGGCGUACACACAGGUGCUGCAUGGCUGUCGUCAGCUCGUGUCGUGAGAUGUUGGGUUAAGUCCCGCAACGAGCGCAACCCUCAUCCUUAGUUGCCAUCAGGUUUGGCUGGGCACUUUAAGGAAACUGCCGGUGAUAAGCCGGAGGAAGGUGGGGAUGACGUCAAGUCCUCAUGGCCCUUAUGGGUUGGGCUACACACGUACUACAAUGGCAGUGACAACGGGAAGCGAAAGGGUGACCUUGAGCCAAUCCUUAAAACUGCCUCAGUUCGGAUUGUCCUCUGCAACUCGAGGACAUGAAGUCGGAAUCGCUAGUAAUCG